GAUGAACGCUAGCGGCAGGCUUAAUACAUGCAAGUCGAGGGACAGCACAGGUAGCAAUACUGGGUGGUAACCGGCAAACGGGUGCGGAACACGUACACAACCUUCCUUUAAGUGGGGGAUAGCCCAGAGAAAUUUGGAUUAAUACCCCGUAAUAUAGUUGAAUGGCAUCAUUUGAUUAUUAUAGCUACGGCGCUUAAUGAUGGGUGUGCGGCUGAUUAGAUAGUUGGCGGGGUAACGGCCCACCAAGUCUACGAUCAGUAGCUGAUGUGAGACCAUGAUCAGCCACACGGGCACUGAGACCCGGGCCCGACUCCUACGGGAGGCAGCAGUAAGGAAUAUUGGUCAAUGGACGCAAGUCUGAACCAGCCAUGCCGCGUGACGGAUUAAGGUCCUCUGGAUUGUAAACUUCUUUUAUUUGGGACGAAAAAGGGCCUUUCUAGGUCAACUGACGGUACCAGAUGAAUAAGCACCGGCUAACUCCGUGCCAGCAGCCGCCGUAACAC
rnacentral:rRNA from 1 species